rnacentral:rRNA from 1 species
GAUGAACGCUGGCGGCGUGCUUAAUACAUGCAAGUCGAACGGAAAGGCUCCUGCUUGCUGGGGCACUCGAGUGGCGAACGGGUGAGUAACACGUGGGUGAUCUGCCCUGCACUUCGGGAUAAGCCUGGGAAACUGGGUCUAAUACCCGAUAGGACGAUGGUUUGGAUGCCAUUGUGGAAAGUUUUUCGGUGUGGGAUGAGCUGGCGGCCUAUCCGCUUGUUGGUGGGGUAAUGGCCGACCAAGGCGUCGACGGGUAGCCGGCCUGAGAGGGGGUACGGCCACAUUGGGACUGAGAUACGGCCCAGACUCCUACGGGAGGCAGGGGUAGGGAAUAUUGCACAAUGGGGGCAAGCCUGAUGCGGCGACGCCGCGUGGGGGAUGACGGCCUUCGUGGUAUAAACUCAUUUCGCUAGGGACAAAGCGCAAGUGACGGUACCUUGAGAGGAAGCAACGGCUAACUACGUG